AUGCCGAAAGAUAAAGGCAGGAAGAAGGCAGAGGAGGAGGAAGAGGAUAGCAAUCUGAACCAAAGGAACAAGAUGUUUUUGAAGUGGAGGUUAGAGAGAUUGAUCUUUAUUCAGUUAGCGAGACUCUGUAACAAAAAGAGAGAUGAAUUGGAAAAGACAACUGCUCUGAAAAAAAUUAGAGAGCAAAUCAAACUGCUUGCCGACGAAAUUCGUUUGUUCAAGGAUGAAGCGACUCGGAACAAAGAGCAGAGGAAGUUCACAGACCUACACACGACGCUAGUCGGAGAAGGACUGAUAGCGGCCCGCCCCCUCGACUCAGGGCCCUCUGAGGGGGGUGACCAAGGAAAAGGAGGAGGAACCUUGGGAGUCUAUGGUCGCAUGUACCCCAAACUGCCAUUGUGUGGCCCAGAUGGGGAAUACAUCUUCCCUGGUGGUUUACAGGAGUCGAGACACAGUGAUCCGGUCAUCUGCAGUACCCCCCACGUGCCACGGAAGGGAAAUCCAUCUGCCCCACCUGACUAUGCUAAUUAUGAUGCGACCCAGACCCCACAACAAUUUCCCCAAUUCACCCCUGUCCCACCACAUUCCUUUCUUCCACAACAAUGUCUACAUCCGAACCCCCCAAAACAACAAUUCUCCCAGGAGAGGUCUGGAGCAGUGACUAAGAAUGAGUCACUCUAUGGAGGAUUUGAUGACAACAUACAACCACACAUGAAGACCACAGACGAGAAGAAGGAAAUAGCCAGGGAACGAGAAAGAUUCCCCCAGUCCAACAGGGACAGAGGACGAUUCCCCCAGUCAGACAGACAGAAAGAACCUCGACCAUGCCACAACUGUGGACAAAUUGGACACUGGAUGAGAGAAUGUAAAGCCCCUCGAAAGAUGUACCGUGACCGCUCCAACGAGAGAGUAGGGGAAGAAAACCGCUCAGACAAAAUGAGGGAACGAUUGAAGAAGUUACAGGCGAAGAGUGUUGAAGAACUCAGCCGCAUAUGCGAUUCAGUGUCGGAAACCAACAAUAACACCGACUUGGAAUGA
rnacentral:lncRNA from 1 species